AUUUACUAAAAUUUAAAUUAGUUUAAAAACUUAAAUGGUAUCAAUUGAUAAUUAAAAAAUUAUUUUAUAAUGAUUAUUUUAAGUAUAAAUGUAAAUUGUGAAUAAAAAAAUAAUUGAUAUGUCCAAAAUUUUUAUUCGCUUUUUUAUAUGUAGGGUAGAUAUAUGACAUGCACGAUUGAUAUGUCCAAACUUUGUAAUUUUAUAUAACAUAUGAGAUAACAUGUCAUCAGUAAUACGAGAUAUCUCUCCCACUCGGUAACAAUUUGUAAUAUUGCAUUAUCGACUAUAUUACAAACUAGAUAAACCAAACGCAGUAAUCUUAACAGCAUUACAUUACUUACUAGAUUAUAAACUGGAUAAACCAAAUACAGUAAUCCUAACAGCAUUAUCUAUAAUUUUUGCAGGAUAAUUCGAACCAAACACGACUCUAAGGAUCAAAUUUUUGUUGGGAUAUUUAAGAAAUUUUCAGUAAUUUUAU
rnacentral:lncRNA from 1 species